CUUCCGUGCCGAAGCUAACGCGAUAAGCGUGCCGCCUGGGUAGUACGGUCGCAAGACUAAAACUCAAAGAAAUUGACGGGGACCCGCACAAGCGGUGGAGUAUGUGGCUUAAUUCGAUGCAACGCGAAGAACCUUACCAGGGCUUGACAUGUAUUGUAACCCCGGUGAAAGCCGGGCAGCGUAGAAAUACGCGCUUUACACAGGUGCUGCAUGGCUGUCGUCAGCUCGUGUCGUGAGAUGUUGGGUUAAGUCCCGCAACGAGCGCAACCCUUGUGGUUUGUUGCCACCGGCAUUCGCCGAGCACUCAAAUCAGACUGCCCAGAUUAACUGGGAGGAAGGUGGGGAUGACGUCAAGUCCGUAUGGCCCUUACGUCCUGGGCUGCACACGUACUACAAUGUCCAGUACAGAAUGAACUAAUGCCGCAAGGCGGAAGAAAUCACGAAAACUGGGCUCAGUUCAGAUUGCAGGCUGCAACUCGCCUGCAUGAAGUCGGAAUCGCUAGUAAUGGCGCAUCAGCAACGGCGCCGUGAAUACGUUCCCGGGUCUUGUACACACCGCCCGUCACAUCAUGGAAGCUGGCGUUGCCCAAAGUGCAUUGACCUCUGGUCGCGUCCUAAGGCAAUGGUGGUAACUGGGAUGAAGUCGUAACAAGGUAACCAAGGG
rnacentral:rRNA from 1 species